GAGGAGGAGGAGGAAAACAGAAAAUGGCGGACGGUGUUGACCACAUCGAUAUUUACGCCGAUGUAGAAGAGGAAUUUAAUCAGGAGUCAGACUAUCCUGUUCACGAGCAGAUUGACCUGUAUGAUGAUGUCAUCUCACCAUCUGCCAACAACGGGGACGCACCUGAGGACCGAGAUUACCUGGACAACCUGCCUGCGCCGGGAGGAUCCGAGGGGAGCAAAGGAGCGCCGCCGAACGUCGUCUACACCUACACCGGCAAACGAAUCGCUCUGUACAUCGGCAACCUCACAUGGUGGACCACUGAUGAAGAUUUGACCGAUGCUAUUCGCUCGGUAGGCAUCAAUGAUGUGCUGGAGAUCAAGUUUUUUGAGAAUCGGGCAAAUGGCCAGUCUAAAGGGUUUGCUCUGGUCUGCGUGGGGUCAGACUCCUCCUCCAGGAAGCUGAUGGAUCUGUUGUCCAAGCGGGAGCUACACGGACAAAACCCCAUCGUCACCCCUUGCAACAAACAGUCGCUCAGCCAGUUUGAGAUGCAGUCGAGAAAAAUUUCUGUCCACCCAGGCACACAGUCUGGUCAGAUGUCGGGAGAGGGGAAGGCUGGCCCUCCAGGUAUAGGUGGUCGCAGUGGCUUCCCUCUUGGCAAGAAUCGAGGACGCUUUCCCACCCCUCCUGGCCACGGAGGAGACCGCUUCCCUGGACCUGGUGGACCCGGAGGACCUCCACCACACUUCUCAGGUAUGCAAGGCCCGCCGCGUCCUCCCUCAGGCCCACCUGGGCCUCCAGGACCCCCCGGGCCCCCUCCACCUGGACAAGGUCUGCUGCCGCCCCUCGGAGGUCCUCCGAACAGAGGAGACCGUCCUCCUCCACCCGUCAUGUUUCCUGGUCAGUUUGGUCAGCCUCCUAUGGGACCGAUGCCUCCGGGGCCGCCUCCACCUGGAUAUGGGCCUCCCCCGGGCCCCCCUCCACUUCAGCAGGGUCUGCCCCCUCCAGGACCCUUCCCUCCUCGUCCUCCUGGUCCCUUAGGACCCCCGCUUGGCCUCGUGCCUCCACCACACAUGCAGGGACCACCGCCUGGAGGUCCACCGCCCGCCCCUCACGUAAACCCGGCCUUCUUCCCUCCGCCCGGAAACAACAACAUGCCCUCGUCUGACGGCAGGGGCCCUCCGCCGGGGGACAUGUACGGCCGCCCUCCUCCAUACGACAGAGACUAUGGCCCUGGCGGCAGGGACAUGGAUUCGUCUCGCGCUCCUCUGAGCGAAGCUGAGUUUGAGGAGAUCAUGAAUCGUAACAGAGCGAUCUCCAGCAGUGCUAUCUCAAGGGCAGUCUCCGAUGCAAGCGCAGCUGAUUACGGCAGUGCUAUAGAGACUCUGGUGACGGCCAUCUCUCUGAUCAAGCAGUCGAAGGUUUCUGCCGAUGACCGCUGUAAAGUCCUCAUCAGCUCGCUGCAGGACUGCUUGCAUGGAAUCGAGUCCAAGUCCUAUGGCUCUGUUUCAGGCAGCAGACGGGAGCGGUCCAGAGAGAGGGACCACAGUCGCUCUAAUGAGAAGCGUCACCGCAAGUCUCGCAGCCGAGACCGCCGCGAGGACUAUUACAGGGAGCGCAGCCGCGAGAGAGACCGCCAUCGUGACCGUGACCGCGAGAGAGACAGAGAACGUGAGCGGGAGUAUCGCCGUUAGUUGGAGAGGAAGGUGUGUAUCCUGUUUGUCUCUGUCUUUCUCCCCUUCUCUUUCAGGAUUCAGGUGAGCAUGCUAUUGCAGAGGUCACGAUCACAGCGUAAUCUGAGUACUCUAUUUGAAACGUGUGUACCUGGUCUUGUGCAAUAUCAGCAAACCACAAACUGUUUCGCAAUUGUGUUGAUGUUAACCAGUUUGUCUUUGAAAGGAUUGUGUAUUGCAACGUUUUAUUUAAAAAACAAAAAUAGAUUUGCAUUUUAAAAUCCAGGUUACUGCACUUUGUCCAUUUAACUGAGAGUUGCUGCUAGUUUUUAGACCAUGCCAAGUUUGUCAAACAAACAUUUCCUUUAUCAUAUUUUGCCUAAUUGACUAAAUGUUUGCCAAGAAAUUGAAAUUGGGAUGCAUUUCAUGUCUAUCGAGUUGUGGUUUUGAAAUCUAUAUUUCAACCUGUGACCAUAAAUGUGUGGAAAAUUGGUUGUAGUUGGAUGAGAGAAAAUGAAUGUUUUUAUCCCACAUUGAAAUGAGCAAAAUCAUGUUUGUCAGAUUGUGUAUUGACAUUCCUGUAGACAGAGAUGUUGUUGACACAAAAUUGGUUGUCUUAGUGUUUAGUUCCUCCAUUGAUUUAUGAAGAGCACAUGAAUGAAAGCCAAAUUGAUCUGCUUUGGCAUCUAAACCAUGAAGCUGUAGUCUUAUGUCAGGUUCAGUUGUUUUGUGUCUUAUGGUUCAGUACAUUUUAAGAAAACCCAUUCUGAAUGUCCUCUGUCCGAGCAAGUUAAAUGUGUUUUUACUGUGAAGGGUCAUUUUGUGCAUCCUACUAGUAUUUCAGACUCUUAUUUGCAAGUUUUUAGUAGCUAGUCAAAGUUUUGCAUCUUAAAAGUUCAUUUCUUAUCAGAAUUUGACAUUCCUCGGUUCACAUCAGUUUGUUAUUCAUUUAUUUUCUGUUUAUGUAACGACCUCUUAGAUGCAAAUAUCUCCUUCAGUGCUUUAUGAAUGGAGAAGAACUGCUAUAUUGCUUUUCCAAAGGAAAGUGAACUUUUUUAGCAUUUCUAUACUGUUUUUUUUUUAAUUCUCUCUAAACACUGGUGUUUGUAUUGAUUUAAGUUUGAUCUAAUAUGCAACAGAUAUUUAAUAAAUAUUUUCUAAAUCAUUAUUUGAAUUAAUGCAGCACACGUCCUCAGUUCAAACCCUGCUGGUCUGAUUUUAAAGACUGUCUAACCUGUUGCUUCAUGGCUUUGCUGUGUGACGGUUUCCUACAGGCUAAAUUUUUUAUGUAACUGCUGAGGACACUGUAAUAUCAUGUGAUGCAUUGUGACUGACCUCACAUACACUAGAUUUAUAGACACACAACAAUAAAACUAAAACUGCAACUCGGGUUUAGCAAAUGGAUUGUAAAUGCACAGCUGCAUUGUCAAUUUUGUUUAAUGUAGUUCUGGCAACCUGUGAAUCUGGCUAGCCCAAAAACUGCCAAUUAUUCAGGUGGUUGUUUUUGUUUUAUUUUUAUUUUCUCUGUAUUCUCAACUGUACAAACCUAUAUUUGAAGCAACACCAAUCAGGGAAAGACAGCUGUGCAUUUUAUUGAUUUGUUCCUCGGUAAUAAAUUCAGACAUUGUUGCACUUUAAACAUGAUUUUUCUUAAGUAUGAUUAUUAAUAUUAUUUUUAGAUCAGGCUAGAGAUUUUGAAGAGAUUUUUAUGCACCGUUAAGGAUUUGAAAGCAUUUACUCCAAGCCUAGAGCCCUGUUUCAUGGGAUUUAUUGGGAUUUUUGGAUGUAGUGCCCAUCUGUCAGGAAUUCCUCUGCAGAAAUGAUUGUUUUCCCAGAUCAUUUAUAUAGGUUUUUCUGAAGUAAUGGUUCCUUUUCCUCUGUUCAGUAUUGUGCUUUAUAAGAUGCUGUCACAGGAUUGGACAAACUUGUGUUUUUGUUAUAGUUACAGAUAUAAACUGUAAUAUAUUUGAUGAAUUCAGUGCAAGAAAUACCAUAUGUCUAGUUAAAGUAAAAUUGCUAAUAUUUCUUGUACCAAAAUGGGUUGAGAUCCCAGUGAAUAUAGCUAUAGUUAGACACUAGCUCAUAUUUUAAUCAGUGCAUUUUAUAUUUGAUGUCCAUUUCUCCUAUGACUAACUGGGCUAAAGCAGAAUUAUUAGUUGCUUAAUUGUCCAAACCUGUGCACUGUUACUCCAGUGUCCACUGAACCACUAGAAUCAUCCACAAACCUAAUUUUUAGUUCAGUAGAAACCGUGCAUUAACUAAUGGUGAGCAAUUAUAAACCAAAUGCAUCCUAAAAAUAAAGGUUUCUUUGAAAUAUGGAUUUAUUGCUUGUUCUCGGGGGUACAGUGGACACUGUAAAUUUUUAUGUGCUUUACAAAUUGUCUACGAGUGGAAUAUUAAAAUUCAAUAUGGUUCCUGAAACUAUUAUAGAAAAUACAGGCUAAUAGUUCUAGUUUAGUUUAAUUGUAAUUGAAUGAUGAGUUAAGUUUUUAAUCUUAAAUGAUUGGUUGAUAAAGGAAACUUCAGUAAAAGGCUAUCUAAAUUAGUGUUGUUACGUAUAUGUAUGUAUCUUGGCAGAUUAACAUGUGUAGAUGAUCAAGUCAUGAGUUUCGUGACCAUGAUUGAAGGAUUGUUUUGACGAUGUAAUAUUUAAAUGUUGUUUUUACACGUUUUAGAUGCGCUGUUUCAUUUGAUUAUAGAUAUGAAGUCUGCAAAAUGAGCACUAAUGAGUGAUUGGAAGUAAUUUACCUGUGACAUUGAUUUUGUGCAACAAGCAAAAAAACAAGGUAACCUUGUUUGAAAUCAUAAGAGAUCAUACAUGUUUUCCACUUACUGAAACGAACCAAUCAACCAAAAUAAUGGCAAACCGGUAUCAUCAUACAGGGAUUUGUAUGCAAUAUAAAUUGCAUGUCCAUAACCUCUAGUUUUACAGAUCCAGCUUAUGCAUGCACUCUUUCUGUUCUUCAGUGCAGUGUGAUUGCAGUUCUUCUUGUUCCAAACCUUCAUAAUUUUCUCUUUUAUUGAACACCGAAGGAGCCGUUUUGCUUAAAUGCAAUGCCAAUAAAUGAGUUUUUAGAAUCUCUCUUAUUUAAAUCUUGUUGAAAGUACAGAUGCUGAUUUGUAUGGAUUUGUUUUGGUUGAUUGAUUUCUCAGUGGGACUAAAAGCCAUACAUUUUCCUAUGACUCUACUAAUGCAUAUUUUGCCAGUUGGUUAACUCGUAUGAAAUACAGUUUUGAUGUGAGAUAUUGUGCGUUUGGGUACUAUAAAGUUUGUCAUUGUCAUGGAAGAAUGAAAGACAUGGUUAAUUGCUAAUAACAAUUUUUAAAAGAAUAUUUUCACCCAAAAAAUAAAAAUUGGUGCAAAAUGUACUGUCCCUCAUGCCAUAAGAUGUAGAUGAGUUUGUUUCUUCAUAGAUUUGGAGAAAAUUAGCAUUGCAUCAGUGUCUCAUCAAUGGAUGCUCUGCAGUGAAUGGGUGCCGUCAGAAUGAGUCCAAACAGCUGAUAAAAAACCACACCACUCCAGUCAAUCAGUUAACAUCUGGAGAAGACAAAAGCUGCAAGUUCAUAAGAAAUAAAUCCGUUAUUAUGCCAUUUUUUUAACUUCAAACCAUCACUUCUGGUAGAUAGAUUUGUUUUCAUUUCACAAGACAUUAACUGAUGGACUGUAGUUGUGUGGAUCAGCUGUUUGGACUUUGGACAUUCUGACGGCACCCAUUCACUGAAGCGCAUCCAUUGCCGAGUAAGUGAUGAAUCUAAUCUAAUGAAGAAACAAACUCUUCUACAUCUUGAGAUCAAAUUCGAUCAAUUUUCAAAGUUGGUUUAGUCCUGUAAGAGUAUUUUCUGAGUUGUGGUGUUGAGUACAGUACGGUGUUUAAUAGUUGUGCAUGCCAAUGUCUUUAUGAUUUGUGUCGUCUCUUCACACUGUAUUCAUGCACUGAUUCCAGGGGCUUGUUUCAAAUACAGUGAUUUUUAAUGAAUGCAUUUAAUGUUGUACCAUUGUGAAACAAUUUACAUUUUUAAAUGAUACUUUAGACGCUUACAGUAAUGGUAAUGCAACGUUAUGCCCCUUAGUUUGAUGGUGUUAAACUGAAAAGUUGCAUGCCUGUGUAUGUCUGGGACGGUCUGAGCGUGUGUAGAUGUAGAGGGCAAAAGCAACUAUGUGUGUUUCUGGGUUCUGUGCCCCAAAACAAACUGCCACCUUCGUUUUGACACCUUUCAGCUGAACGCAAGAGGAGGAGGAGAGACGUCAGGAGCAACGUGGAUUCAUCCCACCGCGUCACGGAGAGCGCCGGACUCCGGACACACUCUACAGUUCUGUAAAAUAUGAUACACUCAUUCUUAAUUCCUGACAGCUCUUUUAUUUUUUACUUUUUAUUUGGAAGUAGCUGUGUGCUAAAAGUCAGUUCAGCAAAAGAUAAUUUUUUGCCUGCUUGUUCGAAACACAAAACAACUUUCCGACUGCUAUAAUGUUGUAAAUUGUCAGUUAGCUAGAUUUGUUUUUAUAGCAUCCUCUUUUUGGUUUCAUGUUUCAUCCCUUUUCCCCAUCUUCCAGUAUAAUGUUUGUAAGUGUCUCUUGCCUUGAUUAUUAAAUAGAAUCUGUGUUGUAAUAAA